UACGAAGGGGGCUAGCGUUGCUCGGAAUUACUGGGCGUAAAGGGCGCGUAGGCGGUCAUUUUAGUCAGGCGUGAAAUUCCCGGGCUUAACCUGGGGACUGCGUUUGAUACUGGGUGACUUGAGGGUGGAAGAGGGUCGUGGAAUUCCCAGUGUAGAGGUGAAAUUCGUAGAUAUUGGGAAGAACACCGGUGGCGAAGGCGGCGACCUGGUCCAUUACUGACGCUGAGGCGCGACAGCGUGGGGAGCAAACAG
rnacentral:rRNA from 1 species